AGAGUUUGAUUAUGGCUCAGAACGAACGCUGGCGGCAGGCUUAACACAUGCAAGUUGAGCGGGAUGUUGAGUAGCUUGCUAUUUAACAUGAGAGCAGCGCACUGGUGAGUAACACGUGGGAACAUACCUUUUUGGUGGGGGACAACAGUUGGAAACGACUGCUAAUACCGCAUAAGCCCUAAGGGGGAAAGAUUUAUUGCCGAAAGAUUGGCCCGCGGAAGAUUAGGUAGUAGGUGGGGUAACGGCCUACCUAGCCGACGAUCUAUAGCUGGUCUGAGAGGACGAUCAGCCACAUUGGAACUGAGACACGGUCCAGACUCCUACGGGAGGCAGCAGUGAGGAAUAUUGGGCAAUGGAGGGAACUCUGACCCAGCCAAUGCCGCGUGAGUGAGGAAGGUUUUCGGAUUGUAAAACUCUUUCAGAUGGGAAGAUGAUGACGGUACCAUCAGAAGAAGCACCGGCUAACUUCGUGCCAGCAGCCGC
rnacentral:rRNA from 1 species